CAGUCGCCGCGGUAAUACGUAGGUGGCAAGCGUUGUCCGGAAUUAUUGGGCGUAAAGGGCUCGCAGGCGGUUUCUUAAGUCUGAUGUGAAAGCCCCCGGCUCAACCGGGGAGGGUCAUUGGAAACUGGGAAACUUGAGUGCAGAGGAGGAGAGUGGAAUUCCACGUGUAGCGGUGAAAUGCGUAGAGAUGUGGAGGAACACCAGUGGCGAAGGCGACUCUCUGGUCUGUAACUGACGCUGUGGAGCGAAAGCGUGGGGAGCGAACAGGAUUAGAUACCCCGGUAGUCCCUGUCUCUUAUAC
rnacentral:rRNA from 1 species